UAUUCGUCUUUGUAUGCAUAUGUUUGGAUAUGAUGAUAUUUUAUCAACUUUAGUGCUCUCAAUCCCUAACAUAUUUGAUCAUAAAUAUAUCCAAAAUUAUAAAAAAUCUGAACAUUCUGAAUAAUUUACAAUCUAAACAUGUGUCAUAAUUUUGUUUGUAGAAAGCAUGGAACGAACUCAAGACAAAUUAUUUACGGACCUGCUUACUAGACUUGGGCAUUUAAAAGCCCUUCCCCAUCUCCAAGGUACCGGCUUCAAAAACGUCAAACAUUAUAAGGCCUUGUCUUACCUGUAGCCUACAGCUGCGCUUACCUUCGAUGACCACACAUUAAUCCCCUUCAACACGUGUACCACCUGACAUCGAUUUAUGUAAGUAUUCCAGUUUACUUGCAAGAGAAAAAGUAAGCGAAUGGUCACCUGUCGGGAAUAGAGUCAAGGCCAGUACUAAGUAGCCUAAAUACGUAAUGACGAAUACACGGCAUUUGCAUCACUGCCGGCUACGUAUAGCCAUAUAUUUGGAAUUUGUCUGCUCUAGCACUUGGUAAUUGGCAGCCUGGCGACCGCCGAUCGAUAACAAUAAAAUUGUUAAAAGCGCAAAAUGCCGCAAAGUGUGUAAUUUGUUGAGCCCGAAGAGGGAGAACGUCUGACGACGGCGGCUAGAGACCCAACCAGACUGUAUUUGAAUCAUCAAUGGCGUGUUUAAGCAGUUUGUCAGCGCCACGUGGCGGAAGGCUGUUUCGGUCGGGCUUUCUAGUUUGCUGGCAACAGCAGGCAGGCGGUGGUGGGUGGCUGGUCGCACUGGUUUAGGGACACUCAGAAAAACAUCCGAAGAAUAUAGAGAUUGCGGAGGAAACCGUUAAUAAUAGGAAGAAAAUAUUCCUACAUAUAUGAAAUCAUUUUUAUUUCAGUGUGGUUGAACGGCUGCAAGAACAUCGAUUAUAAACGAGGAUGAGGAUGGACGAGGGCCGUG